GAUGAACGCUGGCGGCGUGCCUAAUACAUGCAAGUCGAGCGAACAGAUAAGGAGCUUGCUCCUUUGACGUUAGCGGCGGACGGGUGAGUAACACGUGGUUAACCUAUCUAUAAGACUGGAAUAACUCCGGGAAACCGGGGCUAAUGCCGGAUAACAUGUUGAACCGCAUGGUUCUACAGUGAAAGGCGGCUUUGCUGUCACUUAUAGAUGGACCCGCGCCGUAUUAGCUAGUUGGUGAGGUAACGGCUCACCAAGGCAACGAUACGUAGCCGACCUGAAAGGGUGAUCGGCCACACUGGAACUGAGACACGGUCCAGACUCCUACGGGAGGCAGCAGUAGGGAAUCUUCCGCAAUGGGCGAAAGCCUGACGGAGCAACGCCGCGUGAGUGAUGAAGGUCUUCGGAUCGUAAAACUCUGUUAUUAGGGAAGAACAAAUGCGUAAGUAACUGUGCGCGUCUUGACGGUACCUAAUCAGAAAGCCACGGCUAACUACGUG
rnacentral:rRNA from 1 species